UACAGAGGUGGCAAGCGUUGUUCGGAAUUACUGGGCGUAAAGGGCGCGUAGGCGGCCAUCUAAGUCAGACGUGAAAUCCCCCGGCUUAACCUGGGAACUGCGUCUGAUACUGGAAGGCUCGAGUUUGGGAGAGGGAUGUGGAAUUCCAGGUGUAGCGGUGAAAUGCGUAGGUAUCUGGAGGAACACCGGUGGCGAAGGCGGCUCACUGGCCCGAUACUGACGCUGAGGUGCGAAAGCGUGGGGAGCAAACAGG
rnacentral:rRNA from 1 species